UCAACGUUGUUUUAGUGAUAAAUCGGUUUUAUUAAAAAACAGUUCUGUAAUUGAGUCAAAAUAAUUUUGUGGUGAAUUCAAUCAUUAAAUUCGAUGAACACAUAUACAAUAGCAUAUGCUUAUAGGCAAAUAAACAUUCAUUUAAUCUGAAUAAUUCUUUCUUUCUUUCUUCAUUACAUUUAUUUUACUUUUCUGCACACCCACACCCACUGUGUGUAAUAAAGUUUUUAACGUGGCAAUAUAAAUUUUCAUAUAUGCCAAUAGAUUUGGAUGUUUCAGACCGAGUCAUUUAAACGCAUAACAAAAUAAUUAUUUUGAUCACAAAAAUGUAAUCGUUCCUCAUAAAAAAUGUCUAUAGAUUCAAGGUGAUCACGCUGUAACCAAAAGACUAUUGGAACGAAUUGCAAACAAAGGUGUAAGAAUAGGUACAUUGCUUACGAUCGACAAAGAAGUGGCAAUGAAAUUUAUCCCGGCUGAAUUUGAAAAUUAUGCCAAAAAUGAACAUCAAGCUUAUAAAACGUUGGGUGCUGUGAAUAAUACCGAAAAAGAGGUGUAUGGAAUUCCAACUCUAUAUCAUUUUGGUCGGUGGAAAAACUACUUUGUCCUUGCCAUCACAAUACUCGAUUCAGAAUUUGAACGUCGAUGGAAAAAUUGUGAAUUGACUACAAUGGAUAAGUUGAUUGUUUUCCGAGAAAUGGUUCGUUCUUUGUUAUUACUCGCAUUAAUAUGCACAUUUAAAUUAGACAUAAGACUCACAUGUUCACCAACUUUUCCAAGCACCAAAUAAACGGUUCCAUAAUCGAGAGAUGAGCGCAGUCAAUAUGGCGCUCGAUGUAAAAAAUAACUCUGAAGUAGUUAUUAUUUGCGCAAAAAGAGAUUGGAGGAGAUUUCUUGAUGAAAUUGCUUUAACGGUUCAUAUUAAAUUCGAUUGGACCAGCCAAGUAAAUCCGAUUGAUAAAUUUGAGAAAAUCAAAAAUUGAGGAUUACAAAAUCGGAUACUCGAAUACAAUCAAUUGUACGGGAUUAUUAUUGAAGAAAUGGGCUGGGACCAGCUAUUGUUUCAUGGCUUGAACAAGAACAACCUCUUGAUACAGUCAAUGAAACGCCAUACAUUAAAUCAAUUGCCUUUUUUAAUUAUCUCGUUUGAGCCAUAAUCCACCCUAAGAUCCUGAAGAGAUGACGAUAGCCUCGAUAUAUUUUUUACGGGCUUCCACAUUAUAAUAUUAACAAAGUAUAAUGAUAAUUAUGAUUGUGUAGCUUUUAUUUAUUCGAAAGUUCAAUGGGAAAAAUUCAAUAAAAUUCAUUACAAUAAAUGCAGGCGAUACAAACAAUUGUAAUGUUGAAUGAUCUCAAUUA